rnacentral:lncRNA from 1 species
UUACACUGAGAGAAGAAACCCAUGGAAAGUUGAACUCAUAAGCAAAUCUGUCACAUAACCGUGACACUUCUGUGUAUUUUAUAUGCCCGGAUGUCUCAUUCCUUUCACCCUCUCCAGCUCAUGAUACAGGUCUGGUGACACUACAGGUGGCUGUCAGUAACCAGAUCAUCUCCAAUUCAGUGGUGUUUGAGUAUAAGGCCCGCGCACUUCCUUCACUGCCAUCAUCUCAGCACGACUGGCUUUCUCUGGAUGAUAACCAGUUCAGAAUGUCUAUCCUGGAGCGCUUGGAGCAGAUGGAGAGGAGGAUGGCAGAGAUGGCCAGCCACCAGCAAACGAGCGGUGCAGGGAGUGGCGGAGCUGGGGGAGGAACCGGGGAGGAGGGGAGGGGGAGGAGGUGGUGGUGGAGGAGCUGGAGGUGGAGGCAACAAUAGCCAGUCACAGUGUGUAUCUGGCCAAACGCAAGCCAGCAGCUCCUUUGAGAGCCGUGUUGUGGUGGUCUGCGAGAAGAUGAUGAGCAGAGCUUGCUGGGCCAAGUCCAAGCAUUUAAUCCACUCCAAGACCUUCAGAGGCAUGACACUCCUUCAUCUGGCUGCAGGCCAGGGCUACGCCACCCUCAUCCAGACACUCAUCAAGUGGCGUACAAAGCAUGCUGAUAGUAUUGAUUUGGAGUUAGAAGUGGACCCUCUCAAUGUGGAUCACUUCUCGUGCACACCUCUGAUGUGGGCCUGUGCGCUGGGUCACCUGGAGGCAGCGGUGGUACUAUACAAAUGGGACAGACGUGCCCUAGCUAUCCCAGAUUCUCUAGGCCGCUUACCCCUGUCAAUUGCCCGCUCACGUGGCCAUACCAAAUUGGCAGAGUGUCUGGAGCAGUUACAGAGGGAAGAGCAGCAACCGCCAGCCCCUCUACCACCUACAACUCGCAUGUCUUUUUCCCCAGCCCCUGAUGCCCCCACCACAGACAGCUGGAUGGUCAGCUGGGCAAACACCAGUGUAGUAGCACCAAGUGGCAAGAAAGGAUGUCCUGCCACCACAACAACCACACCCAGCACUACCAGCCUCAAUCCAGACUUGAGAAGGCCAAGGUCAGAACCCUCCAACUACUACAGCAGCGAGGGCCAAAGAGACCUCCCACUAGCUAAAAAACAUAAACCCAACCCAGAACUGUUUCAAACUCGGCCUGACAAGGCCAUGUCUGUUCCUUUGAGCCUGGAGCAGCAACAGCUGCAUAAGCUGUCCUCGAGUACUAAGAGCCUGUCCUCAGAAGUCCUGAGCUCAGACAAAGGACUGUCUACUGGAGGCAGCACAGGGACAGCAAGAUGGACCUCCAGAGAGAGUUUCUCCAGCAGCAGCAACUUGGGAAGGAAGGCGCUGGGUGUCAGUGGAGGCAGCAGCUUGGGGAAGGAGAAACUGGCCAACCGGUUACGGCAGCGGGAACAGUUAGGGAUGCUAGUGAUGUCAGAAAGUGAAAUGGCUGAUUCAGAGCUGCUAUCAUAUCGGGAGGAUCUAGAGAACCAGGACUGCCUCACACAGAUGGAUGACCUGCAGGUAAAUAUGAUGACUCUGGCUGAGCACAUAAUUGAAGCAACACCAGAGAGAAUCAAAAGGGAGAACUUCACCGCUGCAGACUCUGUGCCCUUAGACACAUCAGGGGUCAGCAACACCAUGAACUGGCUGGCCAACUACCUGGGAGACGUAGAACAGCUGCCAAGCAUCAUACAUCUACGAUCUCUGUAUAAUGAACCCCUGACCCCAUCAUCUAACCCCAGUUUGAGCCCCGGAGGGUCUCCGUUGAGAGAGGGCCCCCUGGAAAGGUCAACACUUCCUUCCCCAGCUGACUGGAGUGAGUUCAUCAAUGCCUCCAACAGCAAAGUGGAGCGAGACCUGGCCCAGCUGACUCUGUCAGAUCCAGAGCAGAGAGAGCUAUAUGAGGCGGCCCGCCUAGUCCAAACUGCCUUCCGCAAGUACAAGGGGCGGCCGCUCAGAGAGCAACAAGAGGUAGCUGCUGCUGUUAUACAACGUUGUUACAAGAAGUACAAACAGCUAACAUGGAUAGCCUUGAAGUAUGCACUUUAUAAGAAGAUGACGCAGGCCGCCAUCCUUAUCCAGAGUAAAUUCCGCAGCUACCACGAACAGAAGAAGUUCCAGCAGAGCAAGAGGGCUGCCGUGCUCAUUCAGCAAUACUACCGCAGCUACAAGGAGUUUGGCAGGCUGAAGCCACACCACCGUGGGGCUGCUGCUGCUCUGGUGCAGCACAAACUAAGAAGUAGUCUGCUCACAAAGAGGCAGGAUCAGGCUGCCAGGAAGAUUAUGAGGUUCCUACGACGUUGUCGCCACAGGGUGAAAGAAUUGAAAAGGGCCAGGGAACAUGAGACCCCUCAGAAGAGCUCCCUUGCGAUGUGA